UACUGUCUCUUGAUAUCACGUCUACAUAGGUUUUUUUAGAAUAAUAGCACUUAAUAACUAGAUUGGUAUGUACUUAAUAGGUACAUAUAACUAUCUACAUACCAAUCUCUUGAUUUGAUUAAGGGAAGUGACCUAACCUAUAGUGAAAUCACAAGUUGAAACCCGAGCUUGAAAGCCUGUGGAUUAGUGCCUAAUCCACUUUGCUAGAAGACUGCAUUGUGGUGUUCCUGCAUCAAGACUACACUACAGAAUAAGCUCCCAUAAGCUGUCAGUGCAGUAACACUCCUGUACAAUUUUGUAAUAAUAUAAAUAUUUAAAAUUAAAUAAAAUGUUUUUUUUUUC